rnacentral:rRNA from 1 species
GACGAACGCUGGCGGCGCGCCUAACACAUGCAAGUCGAACGGAGCUGAGAGGAGCUUGCUUUUCUUAGCUUAGUGGCGAACGGGUGAGUAACGCGUGAGUAACCUGCCCUGGAGUGGGGGACAACAGUUGGAAACGACUGCUAAUACCGCAUAAGCCCACGGCCCGGCAUCGGGCUGAGGGAAAAGGAUUUAUUCGCUUCAGGAUGGACUCGCGUCCGAUUAGCUAGUUGGUGAGGUAACGGCCCACCAAGGCAACGAUCGGUAGCCGGACUGAGAGGUUGAACGGCCACAUUGGGACUGAGACACGGCCCAGACUCCUACGGGAGGCAGCAGUGGGGAAUAUUGCACAAUGGGGGAAACCCUGAUGCAGCGACGCCGCGUGGAGGAAGAAGGUCUUCGGAUUGUAAACUCCUGUUGUUGAGGAAGAUAAUGACGGUACUC